CUAUUUCCUCAUUCUGAUUCUGCACCACAUCUUUAGAGGCUGCGCAUUGAAGGCAGAGAACCUUGCAGCUGAACAACCCAGAUUUUUUUGUUUCUGAACAGGAUCCUGAGAAUAGUAUCUGAAGAAAAAUAAGAAAACACAGCUUAAAGUCACUGCUUUCAAGCUUCUGGAAGAAUACAGUUUUCAGGAGACUGUUUCAGUUCCUGGGAUCCUCAGUGUGUAUAGCUCCCCAGGGCUGCAGCUAAAACUGGGAAGUUUCUUUCCCUUGAAGCAUGGACCUCAGGGUUGGAGAUCAAGUGAGCUGUCUUGGACCCCUGAGGUGAAGGAAGACCAGCUCUGUCCUGCAUGUGUAUCUGCUUUCUGGUGACUUACAGAACAUGACUUUGCCACAUUUCCAAAUGAAAUAGCUCCAAGAACACACAGCUCAAAUUUCUUUUAUAAAAAGAAGUCUCCAGGAAAGACUUGGCUCCCAACAACUGAGAUUCCUGAUAUGUGCCAGCUCAUCUGGCUUCUUAGUUCCCUUUCACAGGAAAAGGAAUGAAGUGAUUUCAUCUUUUAUAAAUGGAGGAGGUAAACUAAUUACAAGUACAUGAUGACUAUUAACUUUUAUGUAGAUGAACUUAUACAAUAGAUGAUCCCUUGUAACAAGGCCCAUCCAUGUUACAGCACACAUCAGCACUUCUAUUCCUUUUUAUCUGGCUAAAAAUUUAUACAUUGCAUAUUUUCACCGCUUCUUUGAAAAUUUCAUACAGUAUAUUUUGAUUCUAUUCAUUAUCUCUACUAACUCCUCUCAGAUUCAACAUCCUCCCACACUCACCAAAUUUUGUAUCUCCUUUGAGUUCCUGCCUUUACUACCCCUCAGUAAUGCCUGUAACCUGGAACUGUAAGUCAUAAACUCUUUUUCCCUAUCUUGCGUUUGGUAGAGCUGUUCUAUCACAAUACCAAAAUGAAACUAGAACAGUCUAGCCUAUUUCCAUAUUCCUAUGAGGAAGCAAAUCUUACUCCAAAGGUUCCCUCUGAGUAUACAGCUAAAGUAGCUAGGCUGCAGGCACUAAACAGAGCAUGAGUUGAGAGCCAUACUGACAGACCCAGGCAAGCUCCAUUUGGCUCAGCAUGCACAUACAAAUUAUAUGAAGAACAAGGACCAAUCAGUGAAGUAAAAUGCCUAUGAAAGUCAAGGUGGUUCCUACUCCGGGCUGCUGCUCAGUCAUCUCUCCCUUCUUAGUGUUUCAGCAGAAACAAAGGAAGAUAACCGAGACAAACUAAGAACACACCCUCUUUCAUUCAUUAAGCUAGAGAAGGUUUUUGGUACCUGUUCCUAGCUGUCAUUCCAUCCCAGCAUGUUUUUUUCUGCUAUGCUAUUGCCUCUAGAGGCACCUCCUGCUGUAAACAGUGGCUAUAUUUUUGCUGGCUCCCCCUAAACAUAUCAAUAUAAGCACAGUGCCACAUAGUGGCUAUAUUGUAAGGGGAAGGUUUAGAGCUCACAGAUCUCAUCUAAGAAAAACAGAUCAUUGACCCUUCCAGCGGAUCCAGUUAUUCAGGGUCCCAAAGAGGCAUUCUACCUGUAGGUCAAGGGGGUGGAGAGAAGAAGGAGAUCAAGCAAAGUUCUGUUGUCAAGGUCUCAUUUAUUGAAAGUAAUGUAUAGCAUUUAAAGCUCUGAGUCAGGAAUUGAAGCUUAGUGUGGGUGAGUAUUGGCAAGUGCCCAAGGAUGUAAGGUGAAUCACUAAACUGCAAGAUGUCCUCCUUAAACAAAGAGGCAACAGUCUUCCGGGGACAUGUUCUUUGAAAAGGUUGAACGCUUCUCAGGAAUCUGCUCAGGGACAUCCGGUGUUUGCUCAGGCUGAAACAUACUGUGAUUGCUCCCGGAAUCUUCCUGGAAGAGGCUUUUGUCCAACAAUCUCAUAAUCUUACAGCAGCCACCUUAGGGGUGAGCUUCUGUGGCCAUACAGCCCAGAGUCACGUAGCCACCUUGGGCUAUACAGUCACAAACCAGCCAGGCCAAAUCCAAUACGGCUCCCAACAAUUGCCUUCAUGUCAAUUCUUUUAAAAAUAUCAACCAUGAUAGUCUGUGAGGUUGGAGUCUAUCAAUUCUGGGUUUAACACAUCCUUCAAGUACAUGUGAUGAUCUAUUUCAUCAGUCCCUUCUACAAUCCAGUGUUUUCCAGCAGCUGUGUUACCUGCCUCACUGGCAUUUAAGAAAAUUUAAUAUCAAUACGGUAUUAUGUGAUCUAUCUCUAGUAGAUAUCAAUGGGCAUGUAUCAUCGAAUGGUUUGAGCUAGUAUACUUUCUUAUAUAGUGGUAGUUGCAUCAUUCUUGCUAUGAGUAGAAAGAUGAGUAAUGGGGACUGAGCCAUUGGGAAAUAAACAUGUCUAUAGCAGGAAUCCCAUAGGGGCAGUCUUCUAUGUAGCACAGAGUGACUUGAUAAGUAAGAUAUGGGACAUUUAGAUGCUCUGAUAAAACACCAUAACCAACAGUGAAUUAUGGAAGAGAGAAUUUAUUUUGGGUUACAGUUUCAGAAGGGGCAUCUAUAAAGGCAGGGAAGUCAUGGCAGUAGGCAAUACACAGCCAGAACAGGAAGCAGAGAGAUCACAUCUUCAUGCAUACAUACAAAGCAGAGAGUGAAUGGGAAGUAGAGUGAGGCUACAUAAUCACAAAACCUACUCCACCUCCCACUGUUAUGCUUCCUCCACAUUCUAAAGGUUCCAUAUCCUCUCCAAACAGUAUCACCAACUGAGGACCAAGUGUUCAAAUAUCUAUAGCCAUAGGGGACAUUUCUCUUUCAAAGCACAACCCAGGGUGAGUACAGGGAUGCCCUGAGGACAAGGACAUCCAGGUUUAGAGCACACUUUGAAGUCCCAAAAGGUAGCACAGAAAGGAGAGUAUGAGCAGGCUACAGACUACUGCAGAUGUGUGAACACUGCUGUGUGUACUGAAACAUGCGUCUGAGGCUAAGAUGUUGGCUGAGCAAGAACUUGUUUGUGUAACGGUGAUUACAAAGGGAAAGAAAUAUGCAACUAGUGUCUUCCUUAUUCACCUCCGAGCUGAGGUUUAACUGUAUAAAAGAAGAUAAAAUGGGGGUACUGAAGUGGAACCUUCAUUGGAAAGUUUGUUAUUUCAAAUGAUGUUUUGCUGGGGCACACAGGUAAAAGGAUGUUUUGAUAUAGGGAACACAUGAGAAGACCCAUGAUGAGGAGUAUAAAUAUGACCUCAAGGAGAUGAGCACUGAGCUUUGGUUUGGUUUGAUCUGCCUCGAUACUCUUUGUUAAUGACAUUCAUGUAUUGGUUCACCUUACAAACAUAGUUGAGCUCCAUUUGAUAGGACUCUACAAAAAGAAACUCACCAGAAAACUGCUGGUAGUGUGCUGCAGUUUCUUAAGGCUUCUGAACUCAGGCUAAUUGUCAGAGUGAUGUUAGCUGAGACAGACUGAUGUGCUAAGGCAAGACAUGUCCUGAGGCAAGACCCAUGGAGGACACAUGAUGUUCAGAGGGAGUAUAAAAAGAGAUUGGCAAACAGUGACAGAGGCUAAUCUUGGCUUGCUUGCAUAAUUUCUUGGUGUCAUGUCUGCUGAUCUUUGCUUUAUUGAGAGAAGCACAACUGAGAACUUCUCUGAGAGAGGAACAGCCAAAACUUCUGAUGUCCCUCCUGGUCCUUCCUGCUGACUUGUACCGAGGCUGAGGCCUGGCUCUCUCUGCUAGGCAUGCUACUACUGCAGAUUUGUGCUUCCUAUCCUUACUCUAUGAAAUUGAACUGUUGGUAUACCCAUGAAGUGCUUGCUAGUGGAUCACUCCACUGCUGCUGAUCUGUGAACUGAAUUGCCAAUUUCCUGACAACACAAAUGGGAGUUGUCCCAAAAAACCUUCCUAAACAAGGCCACUUCCCUCAUAUCCUUUCAUUUUUACUACCUCUGGUGGGUAGUAGGCUAGAAGGGAGAUGCAAACAUUUAAGAACCACCAUUAAAAUUAGACUUUGAAAACACUUAAGUUGCAGGUGGUACCCAACAUGGCUUAGGCAAAAUAGGUAACUGCUUCUAAUGUAGAGGAAAUGGCAGAUUAUGAGUGCUUAGCAAUGUUGUUUAAGGAGACUGGCAAAAUGGUAGCUACUGCCACUGAGUGUUAUUCUGCCUUGCUCCAAGAAGGGUGUUUCUGUAUUUGUGUCAUGUUUCAAGGUAUGUUAUUUUGAAAAACUUUACUGGAAAGCCUGACAAUUGUCUUCUGUUAGAAAGAUUGCAGAGUUGGCUACACACUUAGAGAGUUUCUGGAUAGGGGUAGAAGUGCCUAGGUUGGAAGUUGAACUGCCACCCACUCCUGCAUCCAGGGGUCUAAAAGAACAGGAAAUGGCACAGGUACAAGAGGUUAAUGUGCAGCCAAGUGCAUCACCAGAGUGUCCCACGCGCGACCUUGCCAGCAAGAAAACACGCGGGGACAUACGAAUCCUGCGGCAGCCAAAACUUUUUAUCAAUCUUAAGGAGAGCCCCGCGCGCCCGCAUGGCACGGCUUAUAUACAACCUAGCGAGGCGCAUCCACACCUGAUUGGUCGCUUACCCAUGAUCUCAUUAGGCACGCCCUGGAGCGGGCAAAGACCUGGCAUAAAGGCACUCUUGCACAUGCGCACACAGUUAACUUCCUGAAAGGAAGUCGGCUGGCACGGCGGAGGCCAGCGCCAUCUUGUGAUGGCGGAAGCUAUCCUGGCCUUCCACGUGGGGUGCAGUGGAAGCCAGCGCCAUCUUGUGGUGGCAAAUGUUAAAGCGGCCCUCUACAUCUCCCCGUAUUUAUUUAUUUUAUAACAGUCCUGAUCACCCUAUCGCGUGCAAUGAGGAAACCUCAGCGAUGUGGAAGGGUUGAUCAAAGGAUCAUUGAGUCUCUCUCAUCCUAGUGCAAUGGAUCCACAGAUCCAUGGGGUGCAAGAGCAGAGAACUCAGAUACCGACUAAUUUUUUGAAGAUAGAUAACCAAAUUCCAGGGGAGACCCCUUGUACAAUGGCCACAAGUGCUUGAGUGAUAACGGCCUUGUCACGUUUCUGUUGAGAUCUGAGUUUGCAAACCAACCAUAACAUGAACACUAAUCCACAGCAUACAGCUGCACCAAACAGAGCCACUCCCGAUGAGUAGCGGGCACCUCAUCUGGUUCACCGCAGCUGUUACCACAAAGGGCCGUAGUCAAGCCGCUCCUAUAAUAGAACUUAGAAUUUCCCAUUGUUAGCAACUACUCCAGAAAGUUCACCCACUGUGUUUGUCUAAAAAUAGAUUCGAGGAGGAUAACUCCAGACACUGUAGACACAAUGUCUGCAGCAGUAAUGGCUGCUACAAUAGCAGCGAAGGUGUCAAGGUCUUUUCCAGGACAGUUCAGGAUCAGUCAUUUUUCUCUGGAACAACCAGCAGACAAUGGAAUCAUUUCUGAGAUCUGUACAACCAGGGCAGAGUUCCCCAGUCCACAGCAGCUUUACGCAGGUGGCAUUCCUGUGAAGCUACAGUCUGUAAAAUGACCAGUUAAGGCAGCAAGAGUCACGGAAUGAGGGGGGCAGCAACGGCUGGAGUCCAGUCUUCUCCAGAAAGCAGCAGUGCACAGAGGGUCAGAGAGCGGGCCAUAGUGGGACGGGACACACGCAGUGGUAACACUGACUGCAGCAACGCCAAAAUCUCUGUGAUGACAAAAGGUGAGGGGGAAUCUUCUAUCUUCCUCUCAGAGCAGAGGAAUGACUCCAGGGACCCGAACCACGAGAGCUGAAUCUUCAUGUAACCAGGAUCAGCAAGUCUCAGCAACCACUUAGGCAGCUGGCACACUCUUAUAGCAUCCUGUAGAAAAACACAAACAUUCCCUCUUCCCCAUAUAAAAUAUCUGGACAGGAUCAUGUCAAUAUGUGGAUCUCUCUAUUUCACCUAGGCAGAAGUAUGCCUAGUUGUAGGGUGCCAUAAACUUUGGCAUUCAAAAUUUAAAAUUGAAAUAAAAGGAGCAUUAUUUAGCAUACAGGGAUAACUCCCCCUUUUUAUUUAUAAAGAUAUAGUAAAGAUAUUAUUUAUUAAGGUAAGUCCUCGAGGAUUAAAUCGAGGACACUGAGCACUUGUAUUUAUAAAUUGACUUGUAUACCAAAUUAUUGUCUCCAGCAUUAUUGUUUUGGAUAUAUAAAGAAUGAGAUUUUUUGACUAAUUGUUCCUAUGUAAGGCCUAUAAUCUGUCUGGUAUCAUUGUCCUCCCUUACUAAAGAGCCCAGGCAAUCCAGUUUGAGUUCUUAAAUGUCCUAUAAAGGAACAGUACUUAGUGCUCUUAACCACUAAGCUAUUUCUCUAGCACCUCACAAACUUUAUUUACCUAAACAUAAGCAUUAAUUAGAAAUGUCAAAUCCUGUAAAUAUUGUCCAAUUUCAGUCUUACUAAAAAUCCCUGAGCUGGUAGGGCAGGGCUGAGAAUUUAAAGUAAGCAAAUGGAGUCUUCUUUUUUUUCAUAUCAACUCUAUUACCAUUUUCAAAGCUAGGUAUGAGCCUAAGGUUUAAAUUAGUUGUCUGAGCCAGAGCACUGAAAGGACAGUGAGUUGUCAGACAUUCACACUGCAAUCACUCAUUGAUUUUAAGUAGAAAACCUGUCUCUAAUAAAGCAUUAAGUAAUUGAAAUCAAUUGUAAACCACAAGCCACACAUUGGCUAUCAGUAUGUGAAUUGAAAGUUUGAUUUAAAAACAGUGGCUAAACCACGGAAAUUAAUAAUCUGUGUUGAAGCAACAGAAACUCAAGAGAAUAAACAAGUGAUCCAAUCAUAUAUGUAGCCUUUUCAUUAGAUGAACCACCACCACUGUAUAAAUAGAGUAAGCGCAUUUUCUAUGGGUUGCAUGUACAAAUAUACAGUAAGUACAAAAGCAUGUAAAGAGUAAAAUUAUCAAUUUUGCCUGAAGAAUUUGUAUAUGUAGUAGGUCAAAUAUCAGUAUUUGUAAUAACCAAUAAACUGUUGUUUGGAAUAAGAUAUGUUUUACCAGGUUUCUUUUUAACUUAUUUUCAUGACUCUAGUCUACAAUUCUGUAUUAACACAGCUGAAGCUUUAUCUCCAAUGUGCAUAACAAAGACCUAAGUCCUCUGGUAGGGUGAGGUACUUAGCCAAUUAACAUAUCCUUAGAAGCUUAAAAUUAGCUUUAAGUAUUCUUUUUUUUGGAGUAGUGCAACAGCUACUCCCCAAAUAUAAAAUCUCAUUUUGAGAGCAAAGGUUUGUAGUAAAAAUUUCCAUAUACACUGAAAGAUUUAAGGUUCUAACCUUUUACAUUGAAGAAGCAACAAAAUUACCUAAUACAAGGCUGUUAGCAAUCCUCUAAAUCUAUCUUGAAAUGGCAGUUGGAGUAAGUAAACUGGCUGUAAUGUUCUCACAAGUUCCAAAACCUCAUCAAUCCUUCGUAAAUCUUGUAACAAUCUCCACCUGUUUGAUUUUUUUCUUAAUUAAAAAUAAGUUUGAGUUAGUCAAUGUAACACUGGCAAUCCUUAAUCACAAUCUUUAAGUUCUCUUUGUAACACCAGAGCACAACCACAAGGUCACCUGAGUUCUGAGUACAUGACUAGGCAGCUGUCCUUGGGGCAGUGGAAUUAGCAUUAAAAUACAGAUAGCUUCAGGGCAAACCACAACUUUGGAAAGCAAAACACAACUUCUAACAAACAAUCUAGUCUCUAAAAUCUUUUCUCCCUCCAACAUACUUUCUUGUUGCUCUGUAAGGACCCUCUGACCUGUCCUAACGGCUGUAACGGCUUCCCACACAAAGAAAAAAAUAAACAAAAUUACCAGCCUUGUCCAUGAAGGAUCCAUAACUUUUGGUUUUUUCACAGUGGCUCUCCACGUAGGCCCAUAUCUUUCUUCUUCAUAGCAAGCUGCCUCAUCUUCUAAAUCCUCUUCCUCAGAGGAGCCAAGCUCGUCUGUUUCUGAACUAUCAAGCCCCAAGACCUCUAACUCCUUUACUGGAUAAAGGCUUUUUUUCGGGGUUUUCUCCUCCUUUCCCUGUUUAUUUAAUUUAAUCUUAGCUGGGGGGCCCCCUUUUUAUUCAGGGCCCCCGUUUUUGCAGGGGUCCCUCCCUCAGUAGCCGAGGUGACCACUGUCCCCGGGGCGUCCUUCCCCAUACUAUCACCUCCGAUGGUGGUAAGACCGCAGAGGGGCCUGGUGCUUGAGAUCGAUCAGUAUCAUUUUUUCGUUGCAACCUUUCACUACGCUCCAUUUCUGACAUGCUUUCCUGAAUUUCGUCCAGGGCCUCUUGGCCUGCCGCUAUUAUAGGACGAAAAAUGUCUUUACCUAAACAAUCCUUAGCCAUCUGCCAAAUUCCUAACGUUCCCAGCCUCAGACUACCAUGUAAUAGAGGCCUCAACAGCACCCUCAGCAGAAGGAGAAAGAUACGAUAGGUCAAGACCAAACAAUUCGGAAAUUAUCAUGUCUCUUGGAGCUUACCUCAAUUCCUGCCGCUUCUGGAUUCUCUCCGCGGAUGGAGGACACCCUCUCGGCGCCUGGCGAUGGUGUGGCGUUUUUUUAUCCCGGGUUCUCGGCACCAGAUGUCCCACACGCAACCUCGCCAGCAAGAAAACACGCAGGGACAGACGAAUCCUUGCGGCAGCCAAAACUUUUAUUCAAUAUUAAGGAGAGCCGCGCGCCCGCAUGGUGCGGCUUAGGUACACCCUACCGCGGCGCAUCUACACCUGAUUGGUUGCUUACCUAUGAUCUCAUUAGGCACGCCCCGGAGUGGGCAAAGACCUGGCACGAAGGCACUCUUGCACAUGUGCACAAGUUAACUUCCUGAAAGGAAGUCGGCUGGUGCAGCGGAGGCCAGCGCCAUCUUGUAAUGGCGGAAGCUAUCCUGGCCUUCCACGUGGGGCACAGUGGAAGCCAGCGCCAUCUUGUGGUGGUGAAUGUUAAAGCGGCCCUCUACACCAGAGAAUUUGUUUGGACCUACAGAGCUACGUUCAGUAUUUACAAUUUUUGUGUGACUGGGUGGCAAGUCUUGAGGUUUCUUUGGGACUAAAUUACAGCUGCUGGUUUGUGCCUGGUGUCUGCCUGCCUAGAUGACUGAACUGCAGCUGCUGAGUCUUAUUCAAUGUUUUCUAUGGGACUGAACUAAUGCCAAAGGUGAUCGAGCUUACCCCCAAAAAUCUAUUGCCAAACAGGGCCACUUCCCUGAUAUCAGAAUAGCUUUAUUAUUACCUCGGCUGGAUAGUAGGCUAGAGGAAAUGUUGAACCCUUAUUAAAAGUAGGUUGCAAAAAAAUUUAUGCCCUCAUGUUAUGGUUGUGAAUCAUCAAGAAAAGAGAACACAAGUUAGGUCAGCGUUAAAGAGCCCACUGUAAGAACACCAUGAAGCACUUUGUGUCUUUCAUAAUGUCAGGUUUUACUUAGUAAUAAUACAUACCAAUGAUACAAAUUUGUCAUGUAAUCUUACUUACCCUGAAGAUAGAUGUAGGUACUUAAGUGCAAAUAUUAAUUCUCAUGGCACACAACAUACAAUAACUAUCUAUGCAGCUUAAAGAAUGAAUACACACAUUAAAGAGGUUGCACAGAUUUCUAAGAAUUUCAGAAGUGAUCUGAGAGAGAGAGAGAGAGAGAGAGAGAGAGAGAGAAAGAGAGAGAGAGAGAGAGAGAGAGAGAGAGAGAGAGAGAGAGUCUUUAUUGAUAAACUGUAGUGUGUAGUUUUAUACUCUACCCACCUUUAGCUCCAGGAGGUGACCAUGCUACCAGACCCCACCCAGCUUCCCUUGAAUCCUCAGACAAAAGACACAGACAUACAGUUGCUCAGUUACAACUAGCCUGGCACAAUUGCUGGGUGCUACUAUCUUCCAUCUGGAAAAGUGUGCCCUUACUAAAUUAUUAUCUCCACCUCUCUACCUGCCCUAAACUCCCCUGACCACCUGCCUGUAGAAAUCUCACACUGUUUCCAUAGUUCUGUCUCCAAAGCUUGGGGAACUCCUUCCCCUCCCUUGCCUUUCUCUCCCUGCCUCCAGAGCCCUGGAAAUCAGUAAGAGCUGCAACCUCUUAGGACUUGAUUAUGGCAUAUGAGGUAGCAAUAUCUUGCAUAAUUGAGGCAAGAUUGUCCAGAAGGUCAUACGUGUCCUGAAUCCUUGUCUUGACGU